UAGCCUUGACAUACUACAGAAUUUGACAGAGAUGUUGAAGUGCCUUCGGGAGCUGUAAUACAGGUGCUGCACGGCUGUCGUCAGCUCGUGUCGUGAGAUGUUGGGUUAAGUCCCGCAACGAGCGCAACCCUCGUCCUUAGUUGCCAGCAGGUUAAGCUGGGCACUCUAAGGAGACUGCCUUCGUAAGGAGGAGGAAGGUGAGGACGACGUCAAGUCAUCAUGGCCCUUAUGGCUAGGGCUACACACGUGCUACAAUGGGGCGUACAGAGUGUUGCGAUACCGCGAGGUGGAGCUAAUCACUUAAAGCGUCUCUCAGUUCGGAUAGCAGUCUGCAACUCGACUGCUUGAAGCUGGAAUCACUAGUAAUCGUAGAUCAGCAAUGCUACGGUGAAUACGUUCCCGGGUCU
rnacentral:rRNA from 1 species